rnacentral:lncRNA from 1 species
AUAAAUACCUGGAGUGGGAUUGCUAGAUCACAUGGCCAGCAGGAGCCAGGCCGUGGCCUGCUGACUGCAUCUGCCAGAUGACUACCAAUGUGAGAUUCUCUCUCCCUUGCUGUCUUUGAAAAAGCAAGUUGCCAUGUGAAGAGGGCCAUAUAGCAUAGGAGCUGAAGGCAGCCUCCAACUGACGGCAAGAAAAUGAGGUCCUCAGUCUGACAACCUGCAAGAAACUGAAUGUUCUAAAAGCCACAUGAGCUUGGGAGCAGAUCUGACCCCAGCCAAAUCUCUGAAGUCCGCAGGCAGGAAAUGAAGAUCAGAAAAAGGCUAUUGUCUCAUGAAUAUGAGCCAGACUCCACAGAAGCUGGAGUCCUUCAUUAUGGAGCUAAACACAUACACCUGGCUUAGGAGUCAGAAAAACUGAAAGAGAAUUCAGGGAAGUAGAGAAAUUGCAAGCCCAGAUGCUGCUUCAUACCAAAGAAGCAAGUCAGCAGGUCAGCAACAAUGUGUAUCAGUUCCAAAAUGACUUACACAGGUACCAAGACAAGACAUUAUAUACACUUAUAUAGUCAAAUACUUUAAAACUGUUAACAAACUUGCUACAAUUGUCUCAUUUGUCUUUUAACCUUAAUAUCACAGAUCAAGUUUGUAAUCUCAAAAGUUCACCCUGGCUGCUGUGUGGAGUAUUCUCUUAUCUGCUCAUAUUACACUGUGCUUAUUCAUUCAUCAGUUAAUGGAAAUUUGGGUUGUUUCCUGAUUUUGACUGUAAUGAAUAAUGUUGCUGUAAACAUUCAUGUAC